GACGAACGCUGGCGGCGUGCUUAACACAUGCAAGUCGAACGGUGACCUCGAGAGCUUGCUCUUGGGUGAACAGUGGCGAACGGGUGAGUAACACGUGAGUAACCUGCCCCUGACUCUGGAAUAAGCGCUGGAAACGGCGUCUAAUACCGGGUAUGACACACCCUCGCAUGGGGAGUGUGUGGAAAGUUUUUCGGUCUGGGAUGGACUCGCGGCCUAUCAGCUUGUUGGUGAGGUAAUGGCUCACCAAGGCGAUGACGGGUAGCCGGCCUGAGAGGGCGACCGGCCACAAGGGGACUGAGACACGGCCCAGACUCCUACGGGAGGCAGCAGUGGGGAAUAUUGCACAAUGGGCGAAAGCCUGAUGCAGCGACUCCGCGUGAGGGAUGACGGCCUUCGGGUUGUAAACCUCUUUCAGCAGGGAAGAAGCGCAAGUGACGGUACCUGCAGAAGAAGCACCGGCUAACUACGUGCCAGCAGCCGCCGUAAAAC
rnacentral:rRNA from 1 species